rnacentral:rRNA from 1 species
UACAGAGGUCUCAAGCGUUGUUCGGAUUCAUUGGGCGUAAAGGGUGCGUAGGCGGCGUGGUAAGUCGGGGUGUGAAAUCUCGGAGCUUAACUCCGAAACUGCAUUCGAUACUGCCGUGCUUGAGGACUGGAGAGGAGACUGGAAUUUACGGUGUAGCGGUGAAAUGCGUAGAUAUCGUAAGGAAGACCAGUGGCGAAGGCGGGUCUCUGGACAGUUCCUGACGCUGAGGCACGAAGGCCAGGGGGAGCAAAACGGGG